rnacentral:rRNA from 1 species
GACGAACGCUGGCGGCGUGCUUAACACAUGCCAGUCGAACGAAGCUUGAUUACGGAUUCUUCGGAUGAAGUAUGAUAUGACUGAGUGGCGGACGGGUGAGUAACGCGUGAGUAACCUGCCCUUCAGAGGGGGAUAGCGUUUGGAAACGAACGGUAAUACCGCAUAAUGUAUUUUGACCGCAUGAUCGAAAUACCAAAGAUUUAUCGCUGAAGGAUGGACUCGCGUCUGAUUAGGUAGUUGGUGGGGUAACGGCCUACCAAGCCGACGAUCAGUAGCCGGACUGAGAGGUUGAUCGGCCACAUUGGGACUGAGACACGGCCCAGACUCCUACGGGAGGCAGCAGUGGGGAAUAUUGCACAAUGGGCGCAAGCCUGAUGCAGCAACGCCGCGUGAAGGAAGACGGUUUUCGGAUUGUAAACUUCUGUUCUUAGUGAAGAAUAAUGACGGUAGCUAGGGAGCAAGCCACGGCUAACUACGUG